UGAGGAAUAUUGGUCAAUGGCCGAGAGGCUGAACCAGCCAAGUAGCGUGCAGGAUGACGGCCCUCGUGGUUGUAAACUGCUUUUAGUCGGGAAUAAAAGGGGGUUCGUGAACCCCGUAUUGUAUGUACCGUCAGAAAAAGGACCGGCUAAUUCCGUGCCAGCAGCCGCGGUAAUACGGAAGGUCCGGGCGUUAUCCGGAUUUAUUGGGUUUAAAGGGAGCGUAGGCGGGCCGUUAAGUCAGUUGUGAAAGUUCGGGGCUCAACCCCGGAAUUGCAGUUGAAACUGCCGGUCUUGAGUACACGCAGGGAAGCCUGAAUUCAUGGUGUAGCGGUGAAAUGCUUAGAUAUCACGAAGAACUCCGAUUGCGAAGGCAGCUUACUGGACUGUAACUGACGCUGAUGCUCGAAAGUGUGGGUAUCAAACAGG
rnacentral:rRNA from 1 species